rnacentral:lncRNA from 1 species
AUGAUUGAUACCGCCAGAACCCCCUUCCCUUACGCAGCCCCGAGCAGCGCCCGGCGCAGGCUGACAAACUGCUGCUCUGUCCAGAGAUCACACAGAGGGUCUGAUACUUUUUAUUUUCUUGCUUGCACCACGGGAGAACUUUCGUCUGAGAAAGGGCAGGGACCCAGGGAGACUUUGCAGAUGUUAAUACAGCCCAUUGGAUCAAACAAACAUUGAUCCAGGUAAGAACUGCUCAUUGAUAGUAUCAAAUGAAUAUUAUGUAUCAUAAGUCACACAUCCAUGUCUUUAUGCUACAUUUAUACAGUUUGGAAGCCUGAACUUGCAUAAAGUUUGUAACCUUGACUCACUGAUCAUCUUGCAUUUCUUAAGAAAUAAUUAAUACCAUUACUGUUUCAGUAAUGUCAGUAAUUAAUACCAUUACAUUUUCUCUAGAAAGUCCUGUAAUUGUUAUCUGAUUGCUUCAUAUGCCUGCUUUAUGAUGAAUAUUUGUGUAAUGCGGAUGGCAGAUGCUGUGUGAAUGCAUCUCCAUGUUCAUACUAUUUAAACUAGGAAAGUUCUUAGAGGUAACUAUGGUACUGGACAUCAAGUUAAAUUUUUAAAAUGUCAUUAUACAUAACUAAAAAACAAAAAUACUUGCUGGUACUAGGUGGAUUCAUUUUCUAUGAAAACUUAACUUCGCACUAACAUGCCUUAUAAUGCCCUUCAUGAUAUUGUUGUUAGAGGCAACAGUGGAAAGUAUUUACACAAUAUAGGCAGAAAAACUCCUCCUUGGAAUAAGAAUAACCUUAGCCAAGGAUAUUUCUCUAAGAAUUAAUAACCAGCUGGGGUUAAUGGUCACUGGCUUCACCUUAGGCCCUCAAUUAAUUCCUGAACCUCAACUGUUAUUACCUAAUUGACUUAGUUUCAUUUCAUUUUAACAUUUCAAAGUGAUCUUCCUAAAAUCACCCUGACAGAGUAACAUGGUCUCUGCAGAUGCACACUGACAUGGUUUCAAUAUUGUUACUUUGUCUCCAUGCACUUGCAUUGACAUUUCAUUUUGUUUUGACAUCACGAUGCCACAUCUAUGGAUCUGUGCAGAUGACAUGUGAUUGUUCACGUUAGGUGAAAGCCAGGAGUGAGGGAGAAAGUCCAUGAGGAGAGCCUGAUGUCUUUGAGGACAUCAGGUCAGCUAAAAGCUGCUGAGCGGAACUAUUGCUAAUAUUGCGAAUAAUUGCUAUAAUUGUGAGUGUGAUUUUUAUAUCGUAAAGGGAAGAAAGUCAGGUAAAACUUCACUUGAAAUCUUCCAGUCUUUUUCCUUACUAAUAAAUUUUUUAAAUUGACUUAGAUCA